CUGCAAGGCACAAUAUUCCAGUAUGGAUUUCAAACAUAAUUAUUCUCAAGUAACUGUGAGGUUACAAAAAAAAUUAGAUUUAAAAGUGGUGUGAUAAUUAUCCCUAAAUAUCAAAGGGAGAUGGCUCUGUAUGCUUAUGGUGGAGGCAUAAUAUGAUUGUCUGAAUUUGUGUGUUAAGACCCGCCCACUAUGGAUGGCAGCACUUCCUGGCUGGAAUCCUUGAUUAUAUAAAGAAGGGAUCUGAGCAGCAGUGUGUAUUUGGCACUUAGCUCCUGAGUCAAGGGAUGUGACAAGCUAUAUUGAGCUCCUGCUUGCACAACACUCCCUUCAUGGACUAUACUCCCAAAGUGAAAUCCAGAAUCGAGCUUUGGGUGGCUCUUGACGAAGUAUUUCAUUAUAGUAACAGGAAGGAGACUAAGACAAACGGUAUAAGGAACAAAACUGGAGAAAUGCAAAACGCAGACUGUGUGACUGCCAUACUAACAGAACCAUGCGCGUGCCCUUUGACGACGACGACGAGCACUUUGUAGUAGUCUUAAUUUAACGUUUCCUCCUUCACUGCUCCGGAGUCUAAGCGCUUCCUCACACAGAGCUUCCCAUGAACCACUUCAAAGCCUGUUCUACGGAAAACGGGAAUAACACUAAUUUUAGCUCCAAUUGUUAUACUUCCAAAGAGGCCUUUACAAAGGGUUGAGUUGGACUGGUUUUAAAAAAAAUCUAUAACAGAAAAUAGACUGGUUCGAAAGUGAUUGGUCUUAGGAAGAGGAGAGCUCAGCUCAGCAUGGCCCGAUGGAGAAGGGAAGAGGAACUAGCGAUGAUUAUAUCUAUGCUUUCAUCGGAGGCUCCCAAAGCACCUGAAACCAACUCUCAUUACCGUUGCCUUAAAUAGAUGAAGCCGUCGAGAUACACUGAUGGCUUUCUUCAGAGAACAUAAUCAAUUUACCAAUGGAGCCCCGAGGCUGCCCCCAAUUUCCUUGGGUAAUAUAUGUUAAUGAUCAAGCAAAGGUGACUUCUGAAUUAUUUAAGAAAUGAGAGGGAAUGAAAAUCAUCCAAGAGUUAAGGAUUACGGUCUUCUCUAUCUCCUCCGCCUAUGGUGUCCGGAUACCAAUCACACCAACGUUGUUCCUUCUAGAGUCUUUCAUUGUGCACAGAUAUGAAGCUGCAAGCUACUAAAUGGCCACCAACCAGAUGUGACAGUGAGACUAUACCGAGGGAUAUUUGGAACUCAAAGGGCUUCUAAAAUAAGGACUUGAACUUGAAAUAAAUAACAAAUAGAGAAACAGAGUAUAUUAUUGUCUUGGGUAUGCCUUUAAAUUCCUUAUAUGUGGCUAUCCCUUCCCAAGUCUUUGCCACUGGAUAAGUUUAUCUAUAGUGAGACAUAAAUGCCUUAUCAUCACUCCCUGGUGCAUGAUGUUUUGUUUCCAACAGAUAGUUAGCUCUGCCAGUGAGCAGAGAGAGGUGGGACAUCAGGCAGAACAUUCCUGUCCACCACCCCACCCCUCAGCCCAUAGAGGACAGCUUCUCUGACACUCACUUAAAGUGCUUCAGUCCAAAUGAGAGAGAAAAACCCUCCAAACACCUCAAGUGGGCAAUUUUUCUUCUCUUAGCAAAGGAAGUAGAAGAAAAUGAGCAGUUAUUAACUAUGGCAGGAUAGACAGACUCUAAGAAGCCAGAACUUGUCAUCUGGAAGAACAGACAGAAGCUCCAGACCGGAAGUAAUGUACAAAUAGUUUAGGAAAUUAUUUUGAGCCAUGUAAUCAAAUGAGUGCAAAAUCGACGUUAUUAUUUAUUGAAGAAAAAGAAUUUUAGAAACUUAGCAUCAGACUGAAUCACAGAAGGGAUUAGAGUAUAGAGGAUAGCCUGCACCACGCUUUCUCUGUAUGCUUGGAACAAUGCUGGAUCGAUCCAUUCUCACCUUAGGAGUCCAGGUGUCAUGGCCAGUCUCUUCCUGACCUAAAUGGCUUUGCCGCUGCGGAAGGUGAUGAGCUGUUCUUUACUUCUCAUCCCAUGAGAUUACCUGACAUCUUAGAAGGAUGUCUGUCUUUUUUUACUUUUUGACCCAGUACUUUAAUGUCACACAGGCUUGUAGUAACUUGUGCACAUUUUUUUUUACCUUGUCUUAACUACUGUUGUUGUUUUUAAGUUUCAAAUCUGAAGUAGUUCAUAUUUUUUUGUUGAGAAAUUGUGAGGCCUUCAAAUGAAGUCUUCUUCUAACGUGGGAUGUUAGAGAAACAAAGACAUGCUUUCUGCCUUGUGGAGAAGCAGAGAGAGUCUUUCAGUGCCUUGUCACUGAUACUCUAGUCUAUAGACAAAUGGAAGUGAAUGAAGCUUUGUGCAGCAAUUAGACACAAGGCGAGGCAACGUGUUUUACUGGGAGAUGAUCUUGUAGAAAUAAGAACCCCAAAAUAGAAAGACCAGAGAAGUUUUGAAAGGGCCUGGUGGGUGAGAAAUUUGCAUUACAGGACUCCAUGAAAGCAACUAUUGAUUAGCUUGAGGAAAGUGUGCCUUAAAGCCCUCCUCACACUCAGUGAUCUUCAGAAUAUCUCACCAGGCUACAGCUCGGUGCUUAUCAAGGAAUUUAACAAUACCCUAAAGAAAGAAAGACUCAGUUGAAAGAGCAGAGGACAGCGAGGCCCUGGAGGCCUCCCUUGAUUUUAAUAUUUCCAAGCUCUUCCAGCAGCUGUGGUGCUUUGAUUCCUCACUACUGGGAGAUCGGAGGCUGGGGCUAAAACUUGCUUCUCGCUGAGAAAAAGGCUCUUUGAUAUGAAUAAAUAAGUAGAUGUUUACUGUAUCGAUAUCUGCUGAGCCUUCUUGUGGGGGAUCUAUGGAGACUAUUAAUUGCAGCAAUGAAAACUCUUUAGAAAUGGCAUGGCCGACUUGACUAGCCUGACUCAAAGCUGGUGCUUUAAGACACAAUGAACAGACAUAACAACAAA